rnacentral:rRNA from 1 species
GGUUGUCGUCAGCUCGUGUCGUGAGAUGUUGGGUUAAGUCCCGCAACGAGCGCAACCCCUAUUGUUAGUUGCCAUCAUUCAGUUGGGCACUCUAGCGAGACUGCCGGUAAUAAACCGGAGGAAGUGGGAGUGACGUCAAAUCAUCAUGCCCCUUAUGACCUGGGCUACACACGUGCUACAAUGGCCGGUACAAAGGGCAGCCACUUAGCGAUAAGGAGCCAAUCCCGUAAAGCCGGUCUCAGUCCGGAUUGGAGUCUGCAACUCGACUCCAUGAAGUUGGAAUCGCUAGUAAUCGCAGAUCAGCACGCUGCGGUGAAUACGUUCCCGGGCCUU